GUCGUAAUUGUAUGUCCUUAACAACCACCUACAAAAGAGCAAAUAUGCUGCUGAAAUAACUUUUUCUGACAAUGAAAUAUCUGAAAAUCAUAACCAAUCAAUGCACAGCAUUAACUUCACUGAUUUAGAGUGGUGCUUUUUCGUUUAGAUUCUACAAAGAAAUGUAUAUAACAACAAUUAUCUCCCUUUUAUAAGCAAAGAGAAAACAAAUAGUAAAGCAAAAAGAAGCACCUUGGAGUUGAAACAUUCCAGAUGGAUUUGGAACAGUUCUGUGUGGAUUUUCUGCCAGAAUUUCAGAUUUCACUCCAAAUUGAGAUCUUCAGCACAGGGAAGAUUAGAACCAGUAAAGGAGUAAUUAAGGCCUCUCAUACAUACCCAAAGGUAGCAGCCACAAGAGAUUAA
rnacentral:lncRNA from 1 species